rnacentral:rRNA from 1 species
GAGUUUGAUCCUGGCUCAGGAUGAACGCUGGCGGCGUGCUUAACACAUGCAAGUCGAACGAGAAUCAGUGGAACAAGGAUUCGUCUGAGGGAAGCUGAGGAAAGUGGCGGACGGGUGAGUAACGCGUGAGCAAUCUGCCUUGGAGUGGGGAAUAACGGCUGGAAACAGCCGCUAAUACCGCAUAAUGCAUCUGAGUCGCAUGGUUUGGAUGCCAAAGAUUUAUCGCUCUGAGAUGAGCUCGCGUCUGAUUAGCUAGUUGGCGGGGUAACGGCCCACCAAGGCGACGAUCAGUAGCCGGACUGAGAGGUUGGCCGGCCACAUUGGGACUGAGACACGGCCCAGACUCCUACGGGAGGCAGCAGUGGGGAAUAUUGGGCAAUGGGCGCAAGCCUGACCCAGCAACGCCGCGUGAAGGAAGAAGGCUUUGGGGUUGUAAACUUCUUUUAUUCGGGACGAGAAAGUGACGGUACCGA